AGAACGAACGCUGGCGGCAUGCCUAAUACAUGCAAGUCGAACGAACUCUUCGGAGUUAGUGGCGCACGGGUGCGUAACGCGUGGGAAUCUGCCCCUUGGUUCGGAAUAACAGUUGGAAACGACUGCUAAUACCGGAUGAUGACGAAAGUCCAAAGAUUUAUCGCCAAGGGAUGAGCCCGCGUAGGAUUAGCUAGUUGGUGAGGUAAAGGCUCACCAAGGCAACGAUCCUUAGCUGGUCUGAGAGGAUGAUCAGCCACACUGGGACUGAGACACGGCCCAGACUCCUACGGGAGGCAGCAGGUAGGGAAUAUUGGACAA
rnacentral:rRNA from 1 species